rnacentral:rRNA from 1 species
ACACGUGCAAGUCGAACGGUAGACGGGGCGAACCCCUUCGAGAGUGGCGAACGGGUGAGUAAUAUAUCGGAACGUGCCCAGUCGUGGGGAGUAACGUAGCGAAGUUACGCUAAUACCGCAUACGAUCUACGGAUGAAAGCGGGGGACGUCGCAAGAGCCUCGCGCGAUUGGAGCGGCCGAUAUCAGAUUAGGUAGUUGGUGGGGUAAAGGCUCACCAAGGCGACGAUCUGUAGCGGGUCUGAGAGGAUGAUCCGCCACACUGGAACUGAGACACGGUCCAGACUCCUACGGGAGGCAGCAGUGGGGAAUUUUGGACCAAUGGGGGCAACCCUGAUCCAGCCAUGCCGCGUGAGUGAAGAAGGCCUUCGGGUUGUAAAGCUCUUUCGGCCGGGAAGAAAUCGUAUGGGCUAAUACCCUGUGCGGAUGACGGUACCGGCAUAAGAAGCACCGGCUAACUACGUG